GUUUAGGGUUAAUUUUUUAGGGUUUAGAGUUUACUUUUUAGGGUUUAGGGUUUAGUGUUGAUGGUUUAGAGUUUAGAGAUGAAGUUUAUGGCUUAGGGUUUAGAGUUGAUGUUUUAGGGUUUAGAGUUGAAGGUUUAGGGUUUAGAGUUGAUGUUUCGGGGUUUAGGGUUUAGAGUUGAUGUUUCAGGGUUUAGGGUUCGUAUUUAAAAAAAAAAUAGGGUUUAGGAUUGAUGGUUUAGGGUUUAGGGUUCGUAUUUCGAAAAAAAUAGGGUUUAGGAUUUACGGUUUAGGAUUUACGGUUUAGUUUUAGGGUUUAGGGUUCGAAUUUCUAAAUAGUAUAAUUUGAAAAAAAAUUAUUUUUUAUUUUGUUAGAGUUUUAUUUAUUUAAAUAUUUAUUUAUUAUAUAUAUAAAGAACAAAGAUAUAAAAGUUUUUUCCCACUUUAGUGAAGAAAAUAUUUUUGAAAAUAUCUUUUUAGUGGUGAUAAAAAUGAAAAGUGGUAGUAUAAAAAUGAUAAACAUGUAAUUUUCCGGGUUUAAAUUUACAUUACUCGAACAACACAAGUCGAGUACUAAAUAUACCAAAAGAUGCAAUUAGUGCCCACAUCAGACCUUACCCAUCACUCGCGUAAAUCGGAAGCUGGACUAUGCAGUUAAAAAUGAUGCAAUUAUACAAUGAUAAAGUGGAUAUGUGAAAGAGAGAGAAAAAAAGACAAUUAAACAACAUUUUAAGCAAAGUCUUUUGCGAUCCGUACAAUAAUCUCUUAUUAAAAUGAUAAAACGCAAAGAAUUUUUCUUCAUUAGAAAAUGGUAAUAGAAAAUGUCAUUAGUGGAGUGGAUUGAACUUUAAAAUCUCGAUUUCAACUUAGGCUAAAACGUUGACCUUUGACUUUUUAAAUUUCAGUCAUAGAUAUUAACUAAAUAUUAAAAUUAAUAUCUCCAAUAUUGUCGUUCAUCAAUUAACGCACCAAACACAAUACCUGCCCAUAUAGACAAAAUAAUAAAUUAAAAGAAAAAAUCAUUCAUAAUCAUAACUUUAGUGUCACACUCAACUAAUUAGAAUUGACAUGAGUAGUUCAGUCAGACUUUCAUGUUUUGUUAUUUAAUCUAAACUAUAUAGUUUUGAGUUUGAAUACAGACUUUACAAGUUAUACGUUAUUUGUGAAAAUAAAGUAUUAUUCACCGUAUUUAUAUAUUAGUAUUGUAACCAAUAGCAUGAGUACAAAGUAAGCAAGUAACUGAAAUAAAAAUGUAUAUAUGGUAAGUGGUAACUAAUCGGUCCAUUUUUUGACCGAUUCACAUGUUUGUCACUACAGAACUAGUAUGAGCUCUUAUAGAAUUUAGUUUUUCUUUUAAUUGUAAAAGGGAAUAUUAUAAAAUUUACUUACAGACCAAAAUCCAAAAAUAGCCACUAAAAUAUAGGUUUAAAUUAUACACGAGAAAUUAUAAUUUAUAAGAAAGCAAAUUAUGAUUUAUAUUAACCAGUUUGUCCCAUUAUUUUGGUAGUGGCGACACUGGACUUGAAAAGACUAUUUAAAGACUGAUUUACAUAUGCUACUAUUUUUAUCAAAUUAAAAAAAAAAUUAUAUAUGCUACUGUGGAACAUUUGAACUAGCAAAUAAAAAGUUGGUAUGUAAAUGUUAAAGAAAAAGUAACAAAUGCGCAUCAUUUGGCUUCUACAAGUGUCUCCGCGCUUGACCUAUCAACUAAUCUUGUAUUAUUAUUAUCUCUUAUGUCUACUUAAAUUCUACAAUAAAUUAUUUACUAGAUUCUGACCCGCCCUAAGGGCGGGUAUAUUUUUAUUUUAUUUUAUUUUUAAUUUUAAUUUUAUAUGUUUUUGUUGUUUUAAUCAUAUUUGUGUUAAAUGUUACUUUAAUAUAAUUUUUGAUAACUAUAUUACAUAUGUCAAAUUGCAUAACUGUGCAUUUGUGAGAUAUAUACAUCAGAUGUUUUACAUGUAUAUAUAAUAUAAUUAAUAAAUUUAAUAAUUAAAAGAUAUACACAUUAUAAAAUAGUUUUGAAUCUAUCAAUACGUAAGCAUGAAUAUAAUCGAAUAUAGGAGCUACAUAAGGAGCUAAAUAACUGAGAAAUUGAAAAUUUUCUAAAGAUAAAAUUGUAGUUCAAAUAAAAAAAGCAUUAUAAGCAUCUUCAAAGGUAGGAUACAAAACUCCAUUAACAGUUCGUAUAUCUGUGUAGCUGGUUGAUACUUUGUUCUUGUUUAAAAGAAAACUCAGAUAAAACAAUUCGCUUGUGUUGGAGUUAUUUUCAUGGUUAAUCAUUGUUUUCUCUUUGUUCUUACUAUUAACUUCCAUCCAAUCUUGAUAUUGCGAAGUUUGAUUUGCCUUUGUUGAAACAUCACCUAAAUCAUCAGCUUCAUGUGUAGCUUCUAUGUCAUCUUUUUCAUAUUUUUUUCUCUUCAUCUAUAGCAAAUAUGAUUAACAUAAAGUUAUAAAUUAUAAUGGACAAAAACACAUAAGAAACUUUGAAAUCCAAAUCAAUAUUAUUAAUACUUAGAAAAUGUAAUAAUGAUUAAAGUGCACAUGGGUAACUUUCUAUUAUCUACAAAAUAGACACACAUAUCAUAUAUAUAUCACCGUCUUAAAAAAUCAUUUAUAUACAUGAGAUAGGUAGUAAAUGUUUUGUCUAUAAUAUUUAUUACUUUAAAACACAUUUAAGAUAACAUUAUAAGUUAGAGUUAUUAUUUUCAAUGUCUUGAUGAUGUUUGAUAUUCUUUACAGGAUUGUAUUAUUAUGUAUAACAGUUUAAUUCAGAUUGGAGGUAGAAAAACUAUCACCUUGGAAGAUAAUUGAAGAAAAAAAUUUCACUUUCUCGCUAACAAUUUGAAAAUCUGACCUUUGAAUACUGGUAGAUAUUGAUGAUUGAAGACGAAUGAAUUGAAGAGAUUUUCAAUGUUAGGGUAUUAAAUGGUUUUACAAAUAACUGAGAAAAUAGUAGAUUAAUUUAUAGGAGAUGAAGAAAAUAAGUAAAUAUUUAAAUCAAUGUAGCUUAAAACUUGAAUGAGAAAAAUUAGGAAAUUGUUAGUUUAUAUUUAGACUCCAGAAAAAAGGAUAUAGCAAAGAAAACUUCAAAACCAACUAAUUUUUCAUAAUAAUCUGUCCAUAUAAUUUUUUAAUAAAAACAUUUGGGGUAUUUUGUUUUUAUUGUUUUUUUGUCACAGAAAAGGUUGUAGUUUAUAUUUUUACAUGGAAAUUGAUUUGUAUAUUUGUGUUUGGAAAGUUUAAACAAUAGUAAUAGCAUUGUUUAAACUAUAAUAACAUUUUUUUAUGUCAACAAAAAACCUAAAUACAUAGAUCCUGACAAUAUAAGGCCUUAUAUUUGCAGUUUCUAGUGAAUCAAAAACUUGAUUUGAUUUUAUUUAUGAUUUUUUCAAUUACAGGCCCAAGGCCCAACUUUAAUCAUUCUCCGACAAUACUCGUUUGACCUUUCGUGUUUCAUUCUAGAAAAAUUCCAGCUUGAAACGAACACUGCUUCUCUCUCUCUCUAAUACCACCAAAAGGAUCGUGUCUCAAAUUCAUGGAUCUUUAAAAUUCUUCUCCAACCCGUUCAGGUACUUGUAAUAUCCUUCGUUUUCUUGUUAAAGUAUAGAUUCUGGGAUAUAUUCUCUAAUUUUGAGCUGAAUCUAAUAGUUUGCGUAAAUUAAAGUCUUUGUUUACAGUAGUUAGAAGAUGUGACUUAAGAGGACUCCGUUUAUUCCAAUGAUCGAUCUUACCGAAGCUGGUCAUCGUAGAGCUAUUAUAUGUGUCUGAAGUAUAUUUGAAGGGAGCCAAGUUCGAUCUACUUAAUCGAGAAAGGCAGAAAGCAUCAUUGGCUAUUCUCUGUCCAGCUGUGUGACAAAGAAACUCAAUUAGUGUCUCAUCACCGACGAUUCAUCUCAAACUAAAUCAGAAAAGCUUCAUUUCCGAUCUGUAAGUUAACUUUUAAAGCUUUGUUCUUCUACUUAAUCAGGAUAAAUUAUGGAAAUUAAAAAACUAAAUGAGGUGGAAUAAGGGCUUGUCUUAACCUUUUCAUAAAUAUUUUGGUUGAAAGUGAAAAGUGCUUUUGAGUAAUCUUGGUCCCAUCUUUGUUUCAGUAGUUGGAAGUAAUGAUGAUUGGUGAAACAUGAAGGUGAUCUUGACUCUUCUCAUUUAUAAACAUGAAGGUGAUCAUAUCUCUUCUAGUAAUAGUAUUGAUGUUUUGUGAUAUUGCCUUAAGGUUCUUAUAUUUUAUGUCUUAGUUGUAAAUGUUACAGUAGUUUUACAGUAAAUAAAAUAACUAAAUAUUAUCUGCUGUAGUGUUCGAUGUAAUGAAACUCUUGUAUUUGUUCUUCAGGACGAAAUAACUAAAAGAAGAAUGAGCAAAUGGAGCAAAGGAAAUCAAUCAAACCGUUCUCAAAAUAACCUUAAGCAUUGGCAUUUCAAGUAAGUCUCUCUAAACAACUUUUAAAAGGAAGAACAGGUUUAGAAUUGUGGAACAUAAAUUAGGAUUGGUAGAACAAACGGAAUACAAAUGUUAAAUGUCUGAUGUAUGUCUACUUGUGUUAUUUCUUGCUUGACUCCUUUAGACAAACCUUAGCAAGAGUUCUUACGUAUAAGUGUUUUGCUUUAAUGUAUUUCUGUUGUGUUGUUACUUGCUAGAUUAAAUUACUUAUAUAGACAUUUAGUUCAAACGUUUCCAAAUAAGUUCAGAGUCUGAAAGUAAAAGCAAUAAGUUUUAGAAGUCAAAACACACAGCAAAAUAAAAAUUACAAUUAGAGAUUCUGAAAAAUCUCUUUGAAAACAACAUUCUUUGUCUCCUUCUUAGGCUUUCCUUCCUCGUCAACAAUUAAAAUCUUCAAUCCCUUCUUGGAUGUAACCCUGGAGACAGCUACAUAUAGUUGUCCAUGAGAGAAUACAUCUCUUGGAAGAUACAAACCUACAUGAGAUAGUGAUUGACCUUGACUCUUAUUAAUUGUAAUAGCAAAUGCAACUGCAAUAGGGAGCUGCCUCCUCCUCAUCUUGAAAGGCAAUUUCUUAUCUGAUGGUGUUAUAGAAAUUCUAGGAAUGACCACAGUUUUUCCCACCUUUUCUCCUGUAAUCACUUUCGCCUUUACCAUUAAAUCAUCCAUCUCUGUAAUCUGGAGUCUAGUGCCAUUCAUCAGUCCGUUUGUAUGAUCGAUGUUUCUAAGCAGCAUAACCGGACAGCCGACUUUCAAACGAAUGCUAUGAUUUGGAAGACCAGAAGCCUUGAUGGUGUUUAAAAAAUCGGGAGUGAGAGCUUGGUCAUUAAAUGAGAAUCGAUCAGAAGCAUCAAUGGAGUCAGAGCUUAAGUAAAUUCUUUCUUCUCCUGCAUGUUACAAACUCCAAUAUGAAAUCCAGUUGCAGAAAACAAUUGCAAAAGCCGAAAAAUUUCACCAAAAAAAUACUAUACCUGGUAGUUUAUCCAACAUGUGCUGGUUAAUCUUGUUGACAUCCUCAUUCGUAGGACACAAAAUUGCUCUCUCUUGAAAAAACUUUGGCUCUUUAUUCUGCUGUAAAGAAACAACAUCACCAUACACUGCUCUGCUAAUUGAUUCUAUUGGAUCAUCUCCAUCAGUAAUAAGAAACUCUUCUGGAAUAUUGAUUACUACUUCUCCAUCAUUCUCUUCACCAAUUUUUCCAUCCCCAACAUCUAAAAUCCACUCUGAGAAUUUCUUUAAUUCCUUUGCAUCUUCAGCAUAUAGGUUUUCAGAAAGUAGCCUCAUAUUCUUUGUCAGUUUCAUCACUUUGACAUGCUUCCAUAAAUAUGAGGAAUUAAGAGAAUCCAGUACUAUUUCUGCUCUUCCAGCACCAUGUAUGACAGGUAAUACUUGUCUAAAAUCACCUCCAAAUACAACUACUUUCCCACCAAAAGGUCUCCUGUCCUUGUUCCCCAAAAUGUCUUUCAUACUCCUAUCCAAAGAUUCAAAACAGUGUCUGCUCAUCAUUGGGGCUUCAUCCCAAAUGAUUAGAGAAGCUGCUUUUACCAGAUUAGCCUGAUCACUACCUGGAAUGAGUGUGCAAGUGGAAAACUCAUCUGGGUUUAUCGGUAUUCCAAACCUAGAAUGUGCUGUCCUUCCUCCUUGUAGCAAUAGAGAAGCUAUCCCACUUGAUGCAGUGUUCAAACAUAUUUCUCCUUUGUAUCUGAUUGCUGCAGACAACAAUUUCCAGAGGAAGGUUUUACCAGUUCCACCAAAUCCAUAAACAAAGAACACACCUCCUUUUUCAUUUGCUACUGCAUCAACAAUCUCGUCAUAGAUCUUCCUUUGCUCCUCUGUUAGUUUGACAAUGUCUCUGUCAUGCUCGGCUUUCAUCUUCUCCCUAUCAUAACUCAGCUCAUCUAAAAUCAACACAUUGUCAUUCCCACCAAUGUCUGGAGCUGGCUUUGGCAUAUAUUCCCAUUGAUCUAAAGAAAAUCCAUUUCUCUUUAAAAUCUUCUCAAUCUCUAGAAGAGCAAACUGUAUUUUUUCAUCAUCACUUAAACAGAGAUCUACAAAGAAGUAAAACAACAAACAAAUUAGACAUAUAAUGUUCCUUUUAGAAUGUUGUUUUAUCAGUGUAAAUAGAGUUAUGUUCAAACCUGGUCUGUUUAGUAGCUUUCUCCGUUUAUACUCUAUAUCAUCACAUAGUAACUCCCAUGUAUUCUCCCAAACAACUUCUGGCUCUGACAAACUACCAGACAUGAGCAUUAUAACAAAAGCAUGCCGCAUAUGUCCUGCUGAUUCAGUGAAACUCGCCCUCACAAGAUCAUCAAUAUAUUCUUGAUCGUCAUCUAGUAAGCCCCUCGCGUAGCACGCCUUCUUAUAUGUAGGAUACACAACAUUGUUGAAUGUUCGAAUCUCCUCAAAACAUGUUGGACCUCUAACUAUGUUUAGCAAAACACGCAAAUAGAAAGCUUCUUCAAUUUUCCUUGGGGCAUAAUUGAUCCUACCAAUACUGAAUCCUUUCUUUCUAUCGUGGAACUUUCUCUCAUUCUUAUUCCACGUGAACUUAGUUGGGAUUUCUGCAAACGUUAGCUUUCUGGCAACAUCACUCACCUUGCACAAGUCAAACCAUGCUGUGAACAUAGUAUUUUCAAUAAGCUUGCGACUGGUCACUUUGUCAUAAGUGUCAUCAUCUUUGAAAAUAAUAAUCUGCUUUCCUGGUAAGUGCCACUGCAGUCGCUCAACUGGGACUGAUCGAUAGUGAAUAGGGAACUUAAAAGUCCUCCAUGACCCUUCACAUGCAGAAACAUAUCUGAAAAUUUAUGAAAUCAAAAUUAGUUCAGUAGCUGAUGACAUUUAGAAGUCAACAAUAGCAGAAAAAGACCAAAUAGAAAUUAACCUGCAGUUGAAGAAAUUUUUGAUCUCAUUUUCCUUUUCAACUUUUACUGUUCCAUCAGUCCCAACCUUUUGUUUAGCUGGUCCUUUUUCUGGUGGCACAACAGUAACAGUGACACGAUCUUGACCUUUAUUAAUAUACUUGAAUAAGUAUUUAAUAGAACCAGUCUGAUUACACCAUUCCACAUUUAUAUGGGCUCGAUAACGAAGGGAUAAUUCCUUAUUAUACGGUAUAACAUAUCUGUUGUCGCAGUUGAAGCCAUUUUUCUCUACAAAGCAACCAGGCAUUUCACUCCUUCUAUAAACUGGAAAGCCAUCUUUGUUCACUAUCGUUUUCUCAACAUGAUCUUUAGGAUACAGCUUUGAACAUUUGCCAUUUUCCAUGCAUGGUGACUUCAUAUUAACUGCCCCACAAGGACCAUGAAUCAUCAUAUCCUUUACCACUUCAAACAACUCUGGUUCUUUUUCCUUAUCUGGUAUUUCUGCGGAGAUGAUCUUGUCAAUGUCAUUUGUUGUAGGAAAUUUGGAUUUCGAAUGCAUGAAUAUCAGAAUAUGAGCAUGUGGUAGGCCACGUUUCUGAAAUUCAACAGUGUACAUUGCUGCUUAUGAAAAAGAGAACGACAUUAGUUACUAUAGAAAAUACCAUAUUAUAUCAGAAUAAAACACCCAUGUAAUAAAACUCACAUGCCACUGUCUUUCCAAGAAGCUCCUUAUAUGUUAAAUCAUACAUAAGCGAAUCCAAUUUACACUUAAAUAUCCUGCAGAGAAUAUCGGGUCUGUCAUCAGGACUGAGUUUGCGUGGCUGAAGAUACCUGGUGAUUUCAGGCCAUUUAGGAUUGCAUGUAAAGGUUAUAAACAGAUCUGGAAACCCGAAAUAUUUGCAGAUCGCCAUUGCAUCUAGAUACAUAUUCUUCAUGUAUCUUGGUCCUCCAACAAAUGUGGCUGGUAACAAAAACCGACUGCCUUGAUCAUGCAUAUCUAUCUUCCCAUCAUUUUCAGACUGCUGAAUAGAGUCAAAGCUAUCUGAUCUAAGGCUUUUCUGGUUCAUCCUCAGAUAGCACAAGCGGUUAGACUCUAUAGUUGUAAAAGCAUCAACCAAAAACUGUUGGAAUAGCCUUUUAGAGUGCAGAAGUGUAUGACUUUCCCCAUCUCUCUCCUGAAUCCGAAAUGCAUACCACUGUCUCAUACUAAUAUUUUUCCUCUUCAGUUUUGCUGUAGCAUCUGUAGGUCUUUUUUUAAUCCCAAGUCUGAAACCAUCCUCACCAUAUGUAAAUAUAAGAGGAUAUUGAAGAGCUAGAUAGGAAGGAUGUAUUUCACUUAUCCGUUUCAGCCAUCCUGUUCGCUUCUCUUCCAAAACAAUAUCUCUUUUAUCCAUUUCCAAAUUGAAAUCACCUGGAAUUAAUGCAGCCACCUCAGAUGCAGUAGGAGUAUCAUAUGUCCUCCCGUCUUUCUCGCGACUGCUGACAAUCCGCAUAUGGAAAGUAGUCUCUGGAUUAGUAUUAAACCUAUCCCUUGCUGAGCGGAAUUGAUGCACAUAUGGAUUAACUUCGUUUAGCAUCUCAACUAUCUUCUGAAUGACUUGUUUUCUCAAACUCUCUUUUUUAGCCUUAUCAGCAGAUUUCUUGUAUUUCCUGGUUAACAAUGACAAUGUACACAUUCUUAGAAUAUCAAAUAAUAUAGAAACAUAGGCUAUCUCGCAGUACUUAUUUAUUUAAUAACAUACCCUAUGAUGGCGGCUCUGUUUUCAAUUUCGUUUUCAGUGUCAACAAUGUAAAGCUGAGAAAACUUGGCUUCUUCUCCAUCUUGUGGCUUCAAACUACCCAUUAAGUGAUAGUUUUCUCCUUGAAGCUGAAACAUUUUUGGUCCACGUCCUUGCGGAACACAUCUAUCCACUUUACCCCCAAGAGAUGUAAAAGAAAAAACCAUAUUAAUCUGCCUGAUAUUUUCCCGAAAAUAUCUGCUCAUAUCAUCAUCUCCAUGAAGCAAUCUUUUCAAGACCUCCGGUGAUUCCUUUAGUAUUGGUAACUGAACUUGACCUAGUCCACAACACAUAGAAAAUUUUGGUUUCUUGAUCUUCCUUUUCUUUUCAAUGCGUUCACCAUACCACAUUUUCGCACCACAGUAGUCACAAAUGUAAGUAGGAUCACCCUCAUCUAAAUACUCUAUUAAAAAUUAAAAAUUAAUCAGUGUUUGUUAAAAAGGUUAUAUUGAAAUACAAAAACGAAAAAAAUUAUUAUUACCUGUAGUAUUUGAUUUUGAUUCUGAUGGUAAAGUAGAUGAAGAUUCACCUUGGUUGAACGUUGAUUUGGAUUCAUUCACCGGAGAAACAAUAUCUUCGAACAUGGUUUUAAAUAAUUCAGCCAUACUCAAAAUCCUAGACCUUUGUUCAUCUGGUACAGAACUUCUUCCAGUAUUUUUUUCAGUGUUACCAGUAGCUACUUCAUACGAAUCACUAUCUUCACUACUAACACCAUAACUCUGAUCACUAUAAUCGUCACCCUCCUCUGUAUAUUAAUAAAAAACAGUAUCAUGUAUAUGGUUGAUAUGUUUGUUUGAAAAAACUGUGACAAUGCAUACCAUGUUCAUCCUCUGUGUUGUUAUGUUGACUUGUUGUCCACACUUUUGAAUUUUGCUGCUUUGCAAUGUCUGCCUUGGAGAAGGCUGGUAAUAGAUUAGUAGGUUGAAUUUUGAGACAUGAACUCCUUCUUGAAAUGAUGUUCGAGAACUGAGCAGACUUGUUGUUAUAAUCACCUCCUCAUCAAAACGAUUAAAGGAAAUAACAAUAUCAGUUGACAUAACUAAACCAAAUGGUUAUUUAAGUUAUUUUUUAAAAAAAAAAAUUGACCCAGCUUACCAUUACCUCUAAAUCUCUUAGAAUACUGAGGCUGCUUUCCUUUAGCUUUGUCUGUAAGUGUAAACACAACAAAAUAGAAUGAAUCAAAUGCACUUAAAUUGAUUAGUCACUGACUACAAACCAGACAAACAGUAACACAUAAAACUGUAAUGGGUUAAGAAAAAUCACCAUAGUUUUGAUUUCUUGAACUUAAGACAUUUGAUGGAUGAGUAAAACGCUGACUACUCCUUGAUAGUGAUAAUGUCGGAGUUAAAUUUGAAACAUCUUUCAGCACUGAACGAUUUCCAAUAUCGGAUUUUGUCCCCUCAGACGAUUGAGAAUCUGAUGGCGUUGGAGUUAUAGGUUGAUGAUUUGGUUUCCUCUUCCGUGUAUCAGAUUCUUUGUUCUUCAUGUUUGGUUUUGGUUACUGCUACCGGAGAUGUUAGUUUUCAUUGAAAUCUCAAAUAACCAUCCUUAUUAUGUAAAGAGUGUUAGGGUUGCUUUAUAUGAUCGUGGGUUAGCUUUCAGAAAAUAAAUUUAAAACACCUUGCGUUUAAAUUAACUUGCUUACGAUGUGUAUCAAAUAAGUCGAUAUAUUUGUAUUAAUUUGAAAAGAUAGAUACAAUAUUUAUCCACUUAUGUUUGAUUAAUUUUCAUAUUUUUUAUUUGAAUCAAUCUCAUAAAUAUAAAAAUAACUAAACUUGUAUAUUUAUGUUCUAAUAAUACACCGCCCAUAAUUGAAAUGGAAUAAAUUAGAACAAUACAAAACUUGUAAUAUAUAAUUGGAAAUUAUAAAUAUUGGGGUUUAAUUUUUUUAUUAUUAAUUUAUUAUUAUUAUUUUUAUUUUAAUUAUUAUGUUAUUAAGGUUUAACUAUAAACGUUAGUUUAGACUUUAGUCUUACAAUAUUUUUAGAGUUUUUAAGCAGACAUAAAAAGACGUAAAUAACACUGCAUUGGUAAUCAAAGUUCAAAUAAAACCAAACACUUGCAAAGAACAAACUUACUGGAAACAGAAAACAACAAACUUACUGGAAACAGAAAACGACAAACAUAAAUCAUAAUGAAAACAUAAAAACAGAAAACGACAAACACAAAGCACAAUUCCACACUUCCUUAGCCACUUUUGUUCGAGUUUCACUGCUGCUUGAGACCUUUUUCUUUUUUCACAAACACUCUGGUACAAUGUUUCUUUGAUGACGAAGUGAGUUCAGUUGGGCCGGAGAGAUGUUGUAUCGACAUUGCAACAAUCAUGAAGUUCAUAAGUUCCUAAUGUAGAACAUACGAGUUGGGACUUGCCAAAUAAAUGAUGAAAAUCAGGAGAAUGUGACACUUGAUACUCAAAUUGAUAAGUAUAUAUAAAAUAUACAAUAAGCAUGUCAUACGUACCUCACUUCAGUCGAUCCAAUGAAGCUCAGCAGACUAUGCAUGACAAAGUUCUGGAUGUUUUGGUCUGCCAAUAAUACACUCUCAAUAAGUCAACUCAAGCUAGGCUAAAGUUACCAAUAGCUAUUUGAGAGAAUCAAUACCCAUUACAAAGCCAUGAAGAACUGGCUUACUCUCGUCUAGAGAUAGAUGCAACUCCUCAAGGCUGUCACUUUUUCCAUUCUCAAUCAAAUGCUUUAAAAACACUUAUGCAAUAUACAUUGCAUUAACAGCUUUCUUAUAGAUAGAAGCCUGAUCAUCAUCAGAAGCUUGAAGAACCUCUUGCAAACACCACGAUAGAUGAAUCAACAGUUUCGCAAGGUGCCUAGUGUAUACAUUGUUUUGCGCUGCAAAAAAAACAAAAGCAUCUCUAAUGCUCUCGACAACACACAUCUUUCUAUUUCAGUAACCGUAGAUCAAAAACCCUAGAAUUAAACACAUUGUGCACGAGAAUGACUAACGGAAGAGCUCGCAGGCUUGGUGAACCCGAUCGCUAGGCCACCGAGAGCUCGACGGAAGCUCGAGCAGCUUGUUCCAGAAAUCAAACGCCAAGGGAAACGAUUUCUCCCCGACGAAAGUCGUAAUGAGAUAUUCCGCCACGGAAAACAUCAUCACCACCGCCGGUGUUUCGCGGCGUCGACGGCGCGCCUCCCAUGUCUCCUUCUCCUUAAGCCUUGCCGAGUCAACGAGGGCGUAGUAUGAGUCAGUUAUGGUGAAGAUCAAAAACAAUGCGAAGACGGAGGAGACGUCGAUGAAAUUCGAUCGAGUCGUCGUCAUCCGUCGUCUUGGAUCCUUCCUCUGACGGAGAACACUAGAAGACGAAAGAAAGAGAGUAAAAAAAAAUUAAAUGAGAUGUUGACACGUGACGCUUAAAAUCGGUCUCAAAAAUCCUAAGCUAAUGAUCAGUUAUCUUUCAUUUAUUUAGUUUUAAUUUAAUUAAAUCAAUAAUUUUGUUUAAAAACCCCACUAAAGAUCAGCGAUAAUCAAUCUUAGAUUUGUGAUAAAAGAGAUGUAGUUUAUGUUCAACCCCUUCAGUAAAACAUGACCCUAUAAAAUUGCAACUUGAGCUUUGUUGGUUUGACUUUUUGGUCUACAAUGAUAAGAAUUCAGUGAGCACUGUACUUGAGGAAAAAUACAUUUUUUGGACCCAAACAUUUUGUAUCGUGCAUUUUUAUAUCCAAACAAAUCAUAAAAUCAAAACCAUACAUGAACUUCAGUCCGUAGCAUAAAAACAUGUCUUGACUAACAUCUUGUUAGUCAACUGUUAUAUUGGAUUAAAAAAAUUACAUUUGAUGAGAAUCAAACCGUAGGGGAAAAUUGCCAAAUAUGACUCACAACUUGAUUUCAAACACAAAGGUUAACCCAAACAUGAAUCAAAUGCAAAAGUAACCUAAAAAGCUAUUGAAAUUACAACCAACCCCUUGUGAACAAACAAAAAAACCGAAUUUUUUUUUACAUUUUUAACCCUCGUAAGUCGUCUGCCCAGACGUCUUUCUGGAAAGUCGUCUGGACUAGUUUUACUUAGAAAUAAUUUAAAAUUUUGUAAAAAAUAUUUUGAUAAGUGAAAAAUUGAAAUCAUGUAAUUAACAUAUGUUUUAAGAGAUAUAAAUUAAGAUAUAACAAAAGUUAAUUGUUUUCAACAUAGAUGAGUGAAAGUAGUGAGUCAUGAUAUUCUUCGGUUUAGGUUUUGCCAACAUAUGUUGUAGUAUUGUAUGUGUUCUUAGGGUUAGAUUUUGGAAUGCAUAAAUGUUUUUUGGAAAACUUUAAAAUUUACCUAAGUGUUUUUAUUUUUGUGUAUAAUAAACACUAUUUAAGUAUAACUACGGGUUUAUAACGUGGUUAGUUAGUUAAUUUAGUCAAUUUAGUUUAGGGGUUAAAUUUAGGGUCUGGGACGACUUACUAGUAAGUCGUCCAAACCUUUAAUUUUACAAUGUACUUUUAAACCUAACCGGAUUAUUUACCGGCCAUAUAUAAGGUGUUUUUUUUUCACUGUUUAUCAAAAAUCAGAAGCUGUUUCUCUCAAAGGUGAUUUCAAAGGCGAUUUCGGUCGAUUCUCUCUAAUCCAUCGUUCUCAUCGUUCUCACCGCCGGUUAUCUCUCCGCCGUUAUCACCGUCGUUCUCACCACCGUUCUCACAGCCGCUUCCUCUAUUUAAGAUCCGAGAGGAAACCCUAGUGCGCAUUCUCUCAGAGGCAUCUCGUUGAACUCCGCCGCCGGUAAGUUAUAUCUUUUACUGUCGAGUGAUUGAUUGAGGAAAAGAUGAACAUAAAACUGGAAGUCUUGGAAGACUUAUAAUUAAGUCGUCUGGAAAGUCUUCCAGCUGGAAGAAUUUCCAGACGACUUAAUUAUAAGUCUUUCAGCUGGAAAACUUGUUAGAUGACUUAAUUAUAAGUCUUUGAUUGUUUGAGAUGGUUGUCUUUGAUUGUUUUGCAGGCAAAAAAAAUGGAGAUGCCAGAACUCCCCCGUAGGAUAUAUACAUUAGGGGAAGAGCCCCCCGCAGUGCAUAGCAUUUCGUAUCAUACUUGUUGGACGUUGCAUGCUGCUUUAAAGAAAGCUCUUCAUGAUGAUGAAUAUGAAGAGCUGAAGGAGUCGAAGUUGGGAGUUUUCAUCAAGUUCCAAGAGCUGGGAUUUGAUUGGGCUUCAAGGCUGGUUCACUACAUGCUCGGUUUCCAGCUGGACAUAAAGAAGAAGUAUGAGCUGUGGAGUCUUGUUGGUUCAGAACCUGUGAGGUUUUCACUGUUAGAGUUUGAACUCCUCACUGGUCUAAACUGCGAGUACAUCGAGGACCUUGAGAGACCUCACUCUGUUGUUACAAAGGAGUUGACUUCUUUUUGGGAGAUGCUGGUAGUUCAUGUCGAAGCUGGGCCAUCUACUCAGGAGAUAAUAGCAGCACUUGAGAGAUGCGAAGGGUGGUCUCAGGAUGAUCACAAGCGGCUCGCGUACCUUUCCAUCUUCACUGGAUACAUUGAAGGGAGAAAGUAUUCAACCCCUACACGGGUUAGUCUGGCAAGGCUAGUGAUGGAGCUAGAACGGUUUGAGAAUUAUCCAUGGGGGAGAGUCGCGUUUAAGAUGCUGAUGGACUCUGUGAAGGGCAUAGAUAUUUCGGGUUGGUACACUAUUAAUAAGUUUGUGCAAGCUCUCCAGGUCUGGGUGUACACAGCUCUUCCGGAAUUGGGUGCUACUUUUGGUAAUCCUCUCCCAAACAAUCUGUCUCCACCGAUACUGGCUUACAAGGGUCGUAAAGGACGCAUACAGUUUAAAGAGGCUAUCCUCAGUCAGGUAUUUACUUCAAUCUGGACGACUUCGCAGUAAACUUAUAAUUAAGUCGUCUGAUAAGUCUUCCAAUUAGACGACUUAGUAGAAGACUUAUAAUUAAGUCGUCUGGAAAGUCUUUCAGCUGGAUGACUAAGUAGAAGCCUUAUAAUUAAGUCGUCUGGGAAGACUAUCCAUACUACUUAAUUAUAAGUCUUCUACUAAGUCUUCCAGUUGGAAUACUUUCCAGACGACUUAAUUAUAAGUCGUCUACAAAGUCGUCCAGCUGGAAGACUUUCCAGACGACUUAAUUAUAAGUCGUCUGUGAAGUCUUUUCUUUCCAUCUUUCUUAAUCUGUCAAAUAUCUAAGUUCAUAUCUUCUAUUCACUGCAGACUAGGGUGAUCAACUUUGUUCAAAAGGACACUGGUGAAAUAUUUCCAAAAUGGGAGUUUGAUGUUGAGGACACGCUCUCGGAGAACAUAAUUAAACUCAUGUUUGUGAAGAAACCGUGGAAGUGGACCAUGGAUUGCUGGGAAGUCACCGGUACUUGGGUCAAUACAAAGCCGGUGGUUGUGAGUCCAGCGAAGAAAAAGGUAGUGAAGGAAGACAGUCCAAGACCUCGGAAGAAAGCUCGUAAAGAGGCACCUGUUGCAGCUGCAGAGGCUAGUGAAGAGGCAGGUUCAGAGGCUAGUGAAGAGGUGACUACGACUGUUGGUGGGUUGACCAAAGAGGAUAUUAAAACCAUUUUCAAGGACAUAGCUGAUGCCAUGAGGGAAGGGUUUGGGACGUGCCUUAAGGAGAUCAAGUAUCUGUCGGAAAGGGUGGAAGCUGUGGAGAAGAAAGUUGGUAUCACCACAAAACGGAAAGGGGCAUCAUCUAAAACACUACCUCUCCACCUAAACCGACGCUCGAACCCGGGGUUAGUAACAAAUCCUCUCCCAAAAAGAGAUUGACUAGACAAACUCUUAAGAAUAAGAAUUGAAAAGUUGCAUUUGCUUUGUUUCUUGUAUGUCAGAACAUGUGUGCUUUGUUUAUAGUGUAUGGAUUUUAUAUAUGUAUUUUGUUUCACGUUUGAAGACACUCAUUGGUUAUUAUUGUUUGAAAUGGAUCUUUGGUUAUUAUUGUAUAAACCCAUCUUGUAUAUUGCAGAGUGAAAGUGACAAUGGGACGAACGCGGGAAGGAAGAGCUUGGCGGAGGAUAAAGGUCCAGAUGUGCCCGCAGAUGUGCCUGCAGCUGUGCCCGCAGAUGCUAGUUCCUUGGAAGAUAAAGCUCCAGAACCGAGCCUUGUUCUAUUGGACAAAAAUCAAUCCACUGUUUCAGAUUUACAGAAGGAGGAUGCUAGAUAUCUAGAAAAGAGGGAUGCUGCUUUGGCACUUUGCCGUGCAAAGAGUGAUCGAACAAGGAAACUUGCUGCCUCACAAAAAUCUCCUUAUACGGCAAACAGCACGGCCAAAGUGAUCAUUUUAAACAGAAAGCUUUAUCCAGGCUAUAAUCCUUUUGCACCAAUUGACAAGAAUAAGUUGAAGGAGCUCGCUGAUUGGUUGAAAUCUUGUCCGUAAGUGUUUGCUUUUCCCAUAAUAGCCUGCUUUUCACAUAAUAGCUUGCUUUUCCCAUAAAACCUGAUUGUUUUUCAACAUUUUGUGUUUGCAGUCAUUAUAGAACAACUCUCGAUAAAAAACCACGUAAAGGUAGAACUUGGUGGUAUCAAAUCCUCCAAACCUCCCUAGAGUGGCUGGAGGACUUUGUAAGUCUUCUGCUAUGACGACUUAUCAGACGACUUAAUUCGUCUACGACUUACUUGUAAAUCGUCUGGUAAGUCGUCUACGUAGAAGACUUACCACUAAGUCGUCUGAUAUCUUCGGACUUGUACUUUAUUUUAUAUGCAGCAUAUUGAUGGUUGGAUUAAUGUGCUGAGUAAGAGGUACGACGCUAACCCACAACAUUUCAGGAGCGAGAGAAUGUGCUUCCUUGAUCAUCUCUUUGCUCAGCAAUGGAGAUUCAACUUCAAGGAUUUUAAGGACUCGAAGCCCAAUCACAACGGUUUAGGAAGAAGACUCCCUGGUGGGGCGUGGAAUUAUUAUGCAUGCAUUAUACCAUCAUUUUGCCAAUCGAACAAGGUUUAGGGGACGGAUAUUGAUGAUAUCUAUGUGCCAGUAAACUUCGCCGACAGUCAUUGGAUUGCUAUGUGGAUAUCGAUCCCUAAGAGGCACAUAGUUGUCUUUGACAGCAUUUGUUCUAGUAUCUUCCCAGAAGAACUCGAUGUGGUAAUGGAGCAUUUUCUCUACAUGGUCCCCUAUCUGCUUGUUGAGUGCGCUUCCUCAGAUGAACUACAUGCCCAAUACAGCCUGGAGCCAUUCACAUAUGAGAGACCGACCAAUAUACCUCCGGCCCGAGCUGGUGAUUGUGGCGUUUACACUCUAAAGUACAUUGAAUGUCAUGCUCUUGGGAUAAAGUUUAGUAAAAAAGACUUUGCUAAGCCCAACGGGAAGAGUAUGGGGGAUAAGAUGGCGGUAGAUAUAUUUUAAGAGCUUCCUGACGCGCAUGAGUUCGAAAACAAGGACAUGGAUGACAUCCUGAGUACGUAUGACGGGUGAUAAACAGGCCACUUUAUAUUAUUUUGUAUGACAGUUUAGGCUGAUGUGUGUAUUUGAACUUGAUCCCUAUUUUGUAUUUGAACUUGAUCCCUAUUUUGUAACUAUAUUCUGCGCAGAAGACUUACAGUUAAGUCGUCUGGAAUGUUGGACGACUUAACUAUAAGUAGUCUGGAAAGUCUUCUGAGCAGUGACCUUUUGUAACUAUAUUUCGGAUAAUAUAAAGGGCAAGAUCAUCUCAAAUUUGUUUGGUUGUGCAAUUUGACAAAGAAGUUGACACAGAUAAGUUCAUAACACAAAUUUUUAGUACAUAGACUGCACACUGGAUGACUAACUUGAAGGUCUUCUGGAAGAAAAAACCCUGGACGACUUAGUUGAAGGUCUUCUGGAAGAUUAAUCACUGGACGACUAACUUGAAUGUCUUCUGGAAGAAAAAACCCUGGACGACUAACUGGACGACCUUCUGGACGACUUAAUUGAAGGUCUUCUGGAAGACUAAUCACUGGACGACUAACUUGAAGGUCUUCUGGAAGAAAAAACCCUAGACGACUAACUGGAAGACCUUCUGGACGACUUAAUGGAAAGUCUUCUGGAAGACUAAUCACUGGACGACUUACAUUGUGGUUUCGUAUGGCCAGUUUCCUUGCAUUUUGAGCAUCUAUAACCCUGUGUUGCUUCCGGGGUUUGCGUCCUCUCAUCCUGGAUAGCUCCAACCAAGAUUGCCAUCUUGAUUUCUUCUGUCUUCCCGGACCACGUUUUACUUCCGGAGGAAAGCAUGUGCGUUCCUCAACUUGUUGUCCAACACAAGGAUAUAUAUUCUCUGAGUAUCCUGCAAACAGAAAAUCCUUUGAGUACACUGGACAUACAAGUGUGGAGAUAUGCAAACCAACAGAUGUUCCAGCAGCUAUAACAUGAGAGCAAGGUAUUUUCUCCACUGCAUAGACACCACAAUCACACUUUCCAUGUUCCAAAUCAACCACACAGUCCAUUUUCCCACCUUUCACAAAGAAUCGCCAUCCAUCAAUUGGUUGUACCGUCAUCGUAUCCGCUAUCUCCGAUCGAACAACAAGCAAGUAUUCAACACCUCGACUAUGUUGAGUUGGGAGACUCAAAGCAUCUUCUCUCCUUUUCCAAAACCACUUUCCUAGCUUCUCCCUUAUGAACUCCAACAGGAACUGAACCGGAAAUCCUCUAGCUCGCUUCAGAGCGGAAUUAAUAGAUUCAGCGAUGUUGCUUGUUUUUAUGUUGUACCUGUCCCCCUGACAAUAAACCCUUGACCAUAGGCUGACGUCGGCAUUCUCCAAAUACGUUGCAAGAUCCGGGUUUGCACUCCGUAUCUCAGCCAUGUACCGGUCAAAAUCUGAAACCGUAUGAGCAUAAACAGCACCUUUCACCAAGUACAAGAGAAGUUUCCCUUUAUACUUUUUGACAAUGUUAUCUUGAAGGUGAUAAUAACAUAUUCCUCGUGUUGCCCAAGGAAACACCUUAUCACACGCACUUUUAAUGGCCGCGUGCCGGUCAGAGACUAUCACCAGAGGCUGCUCAUCAGAGACACAACUAGCCAAUUUUGUGAAAAACCAUUCCCAAGAAGGUUCAUCUUCAGCAUCUACGAUCCCAAAAGCCAAUGGAAAUAUCUGAAAAUUCCCAUCUUGUGCGGCUGCAACUAACAUAACACCUUCAUAUUUCCCACUUAGGUGAGUCCCAUCCACCACAAUGACCCUUUUCUGAUACUUAAAACCUUUGAUAGAAGCUCCAAAAGAGAGAAAUAAAUACUUAAAUCUAUUGAUAGAAUCAAGUUCUAUAGCCGUGAUAGAAUCGGGAUUUACUAAAGAGAUUUGCUCGAGAUAUGAUGGCAGACGCGAAUACCCAUCAUCUGUUGAUCCUCUCACCAAUGUUUGUGCAUAUAAAAGUGCUCUGUAUGAAGUGGUGUAAUCAAGCGUCAUGCCAAACAUGUUCUUCAUUGCAUCAGUGAUAUGCUGCGGAUUCAACCCAUCAAUGAUUCCAACACGAUCAAUGAAAAGCCUACCAACAUACUUCGGAGUACAGUGUCUCCGCUGAGCGAGUCGGUCUCCCGCUGAGCAUGUAUGUUUUUCCACAUACUUUGUUACCCAAAAUGUGUUUGACCCAUGUUUCACACUCGCUCUGACCUUCCAUUGACAACCACUAACCGGACAUGUUGUCACAAGGAGAGUUUUCGUUGACUUGUAUAUUCUGAAGGAGAACUUAAACCUCACUGCUGUCAACCGCAGCUCUGAAAGCAGUGCAUCCUUGCUAACAAAAAUCUGGUUGACAUAGAUAAUGUUACCAUUCGAUCUUCCUCCUUCAAUCUUUUCGAUAUCUUCAAAACACAUAUCAUCAUCUUCCUCAUCCUCAUCUUCAACCUUUCCAUAAACACUGUAAUCCUCACCAUUCUCGUCCGCUUCAGCAACAAUAGAGAUACCAGCAUCCUCCUCCACAUCGUCCUCCUCCCCAUCAUGAUUUUCAUCUUCAACCAAAUCAUCAUCAUCAUCAUCAAAACAUACAUCAGCUUCAUCAGCUUCAUCAUCUUCCCUGAACUCUGAAACCGUUUCCACCUUGCUACGGCUUGAUACACAAAGACGUACUCCAUGCGUUUUGGUUAUCUCGAGCAAGUUUCGAACUUGUCUAUCACUUGUAACAUGAAUAGGAGGGGUGUCUGGAGCCUGCAUCAUUUCUGCUGGUAAUGAGUAGGUUAUCUCCACAGAUUUUGUGCUCAUGUCCAGGUUAUAAUCUUCUUGAGCCAUUGCAAGAAGUUCACAUGUGUCGAACCUUCCCCCAAAAAAAUGAUUCUCACUCCUUGGACAUUAUCAACCACAAAAUCCCAACGACAAUCAUUCAACAACCAUUCUCCAUACACUGCAUGUAACUGACGCAUCAUCUACAAAAAUUCAAAAUAAAACACAUUAGUAAACAUAGAGAAAAUGAAAGUUUACUAAACAUUGACGCAGACGACAUACCAGUCGUCUUACUUGACUUUCAAGUAAGUCGUCUUACUUGACGACUUCCGCGUAAGUCGUCUGAGAAAAGUUAAAUAUUUAAGUUUUAUUUUCCAAUUGCAAAAGUAACAUGAGACGACUUACAGAUAAGUCGUCCAGAUUUAAUAAAAUAUUGAAAAUUUUGUUUUCCCGGAGACGACUUACUGGUAAGUCGUCCAGGAAAAGUCAAAUAUCUGACACAAUUCGGUCAAAUGCAAAACUAACAUAUUUAUCCUAGACGACUUAUCAGUAAGUCGUAUAGGGUAUUCUCUAGAUUUUUUUUUAACAAACAAAGAUGACGACUUAAAAGUAAGUCAUCCGUUUGACCAGAAGACUUACCCGUAAGUCUUCUACAGCCAGACUACUUACGGGUAAGUCUUUUACACAAACAGAUCUGGAAAAAAUUUCAGUUUCAUACCUUAAACUAGUGAGAUGACUUCCUUAGCACACAUAGUCUUCUCCAACCACCCAGAAUCUCAAACGAAGUAACCCACCAAGAAUAGUAUGCUUGAAUGGCUCUAUAAACCAUAAAAAAAUUUGUAUCAAAAGCUUGAGUUUUUUGGAUGAAUAUGGAGGCAAAGUGAAAGAGAUGUUGUUUUUAGUUCAUAACAAGUGAGAAAGAGAGAGUGUAAAUCGAUUUUAGGUGCAUUAAGAGCUUCAAAUUGGUUGUUGAUGGUGGUUGGGGUAUUGAUGACAAUGGCAAUCUUGUAAUUACUUGAAGAUGAUGAGGGUGAGAGAGUAAAAAUGUCAUUUUCGGAAGAAAAAUUUUUUUAAAAAAUUUGAUGGCAUUUUCGUGAGUAUCAUGAACUUGUGGGGUGAAUAGAACAAAAGAAAAAUCCAAAAAAAACAUGGGUUAGUUUUAGGUUUGACUUUGAGUUUUGAGUCAAUCUUGCAAAAAGCCCCAAACCGUAGUCCCACACACACGAUACAUUAUUAAUUUUUUUAUUGUUUUCUUAUUAGAAAUAAAACAUUUAUAUUUUGAUUUGUAUAUUCUAAAGAAAAAAAUAUUUUUGUUUACAAAUUUUAUUUAGUACAAAUUAUAAUUGCACCAAUAAUCUAUAUAUUUCAAGUUUUUACGCUCUUACAAAUCUACAUAUAAUAGUGAAUAUAUUUAUCUUAAAAAUUAAAACUUAACUUUUUAAAUAAACAAGUGAAAUUUUCUAAGAUAGCAUUUUUAGUUUAUUUUCACAAAAAUAGCUCUCAAUGAAGAAAAUUGCUAAAAUAAUAUUUAUUAAAGGGUAAAAAUACAUUUUUAACUAAUCUAGACUUUGUGUUUAGAGUUAAGGUGUAGGGUUUUGGAGAAAUGGUUUCAAAUUUUUUAAAAAUAUAUAUAUAUUAAAAUUUCAAAAUAAAAAAGGCUAUUUUGUCAUUUUUUUCUUCAAGUGUUAUUUUAUAACAAAAACUUGAAAAUGACUGUCUAAGAGAAUUGUUCCAUAAACAAUGCACACCAAAUUAAAUAAUCACUAUGUGUUUUUCAAUCAUAUAUAUUUACUCCAGGUUUUGAAAAUACUAAUUAAGUUUUAUAUGUUAAAUUUGUAAUUGGUAAAUCAAUUAAAAAAUCAUAAGUUUACAGGUCAAAUUUGUAAGAAGUCUAAAACAUAUGGGGGGGAAUAUAUUAAAAAGAAGAAGAAGAUGAAGCGCGUCUGAAAAAAGCUACGUUUGGUUUUAAAUCAUUUUCUCCCCUUUGGAGGUGUUGCGAGAGCGUGCGUUAAUAUCGAUUCAAAACGAAGACUGCUCCGAUGGUGAGAUCUUCUCUCGACGCUUUUUCCAAGUCUUUUGGUGUUUGUCACAAGUAUUUUUUUUUUUUACGGGGAACGCGAAUUUUGUUAGGGUUUUUGGGUACUUCUUCGUGGAGAUUAUGCAUAAGUUGUUGGAAGUCGAAUUCAGUUGAUUACUAAUGAUUUCCACUUCUAGUCCUUUCUGCAGUAGAACGUGAAUUUUUGUUCUUGUUCUUGAUUGAAACUGAGUUCCUUUUAAUGAGAUUCAAUCUUUGUCUCAUGAAAGAAAGAAAGAAAAAAAAAACAUGUAAAAGUAUCAGCUUUUGGUUAUAUAGCCUUAAAGACUUUUGGAUUUGAUGAUUAUUAGCUAGGAUUUGAAUCCGUAAUGUUAUCUAGGAUGUGAUUCCAUAUACUUGUAGAUCAUUUUAGCUCAUAGCUUAUAAUUUUUCUUGGUAAAACUUCAUUGGAUUCUGCUACUUUUGCUCUCAUGUUUGCUUUUCGUGAAAAGGAAUCCUUUUUUCUUUCAGGGGUUCUUGAGCAUUGUUAGUCAUUGCUUUACUUUUGUUCUAACUUCACAAAUGAAUUAAAAGUAGGCCCAUCUCUUGUUUCAUCGCUCUUUGGCAUAUUAUGUAAGAAAAAUGAGUGUUGUUCUGUAUUGAAUGCAAAAGAAAGUACCCUUAGACACGACUUAGUUGAUUGGUUUUUAGUUGAUAUAUUAGUUUUCAGCAAAUCAUGGCACUAUGCAUCAUGUCAGCCCAAAGUUAUUUCUCCUUCGGAAGUUGAGAUUUUUUUUUUGCAAUUUUAUGAUUCUGACCCCUUUUACUUCUCUCUCUGUGUAGGCUGAUCCUGAACUAGAAGCUAUCAGGCAGAGGAGAAUGCAAGAGCUCAUGGCUCAACAUGGCACUGUAAUAUUCUGAAUAAUAACCUUCACUUAUGCUUCUUCUCUUUUUUUUCAAUUGAGAAAAAUUGCACUUUGUGUGGCUCAUUGAUUGUGAACCAACCUAAUUUGCAGGGGAAGCAGGGCAAUCAGCAGAAUCCAGAUCAAGAGAGAGCACAAGAAGAUGCUAAAAGGUCUGUUGUCUAUUACUUGAAAGCAAACUCUAUGUUGAGCUAACCUUCUUUUCUCUGAUUGGAACAUGGGUUCAGGGAAGCUGAUGAACGUAGACAAAUGAUGCUUAGUCAAAUACUGUCUUCCCAAGCCCGAGAGAGAAGUAAGUUACCACAUCUAAAUAUGCUUUCGACUUCAUCUAGUUCCUCUUGCUUUGUUUCUUUCUUCGUGACUGUCACUGAUAUGAUAAUCUUCCACGUUGUGGUAAUGUAUCAUUUUUCUAUAGUUGCUCGAAUUGCACUGGUGAAACCUGACAAGGCUAGAGGCGUAGAGGAUGUUAUUUUAAGAGCUGGUCAAAUGGGACAGAUUGUUGAGAAAGUAAGAAUCCACUUACCUUUCCUUGUGAUAGAGUUCAUAAUUCGUUUUAUAAAUGUCUACUCAGUUUCGCUGACACUUCACGAAUGUUACGCAUCUGAUAGUUAUUGCAAUACUCUUGUUUGUUUUUAACAGGUUUCUGAGGAGCGGCUCAUAACCCUCUUGGAACAAAUAAACAGCCAAACUAGCAAGCAGACCAAAGUCACGGUACGGUCACACAAUCCUCCAAAAACACAAGUUAUCAAAGCAAAAAGCUUUGCUCUUAGUUUAACGAUAUCAUCGAGUGUAAGUUUAUCUUGGAUGUGUUUACUGUUUACAGAUCCAGAGACGUCGUGGGGUGGACGACGAUUAGGAAGAAGAAGAUUAUGCUGUGCUUUUGUAUAUCUAUGGAGAUCUCACUGUUGAGUUGGUGAGUUCUAGUUAGAUGUUACCGUGAAAUAUGUUUAUUCUGAGUGAAUCUUAAUGAUCUUCCAAAUGGUUGGGAUGUGAUAAAGAGUAAUCUCAAACUGAAACUCUGCAUUUUAUAUUUUGGACAUUUCAUUUGACUCUAACCCGACUCUUUUUUUAUAAAAAAAAAAAUUGCUUCUAUUCUGACUAAUUUUAUCUGAGUUCUUCAUGAAGAAUUAAUCAAUUUAUUGAUACAAAAUAAAUAAUUCAACUUCUGUCGGCCGUGAAGUACUGAAGCGACUAUCAUUUUCAUGUCACAAGAAUCAAAGGUCAACCGAAAUACUAAAGCAAGCAUUUGACAAAUAAGUGACGCCAUAUGGUUCAACUUUAUCGUUACUUUAUGAUCAAAAGUAUGAUUUCUGAUUAUUUUUAAAGCAUUCAUUUGUCAAAUAAGUGACGCCAUAGACCACAUUUCUAACAAACAAGCAUUAUCCAUACGUUUCCUAACGAUUUCUUUAUAACCUUCCCAAAACUAUGUAAUUACCAAGAAUAAAAUGGUCCUAGUCAGUUUUUACACUCAAAGUUAGUUGUUACUUCUUACAAAUACAAUUAAAGAGAAAGGGGACACUGGGCAGUCAGUGUAUCCGUUUUUAUCCACUCGCCAACAGAAGAUCAUUUGUAAAGUGGCUCAACUCAGCAAACUCAGCAGGAGCAGUGAAUACGUCUCAUGUGUUGCUUCUGUUGGUUUGUUAUCCGUUUUUAGUUUUGAGCAAAAAAGUUAUCUAAAUUAUAAUAAACGAAAUCUUUUGUAUUAUAAUGAAUUAAACAAAAGUAGUAUACUUAUGUAAAUAUUUUAGAGUUUUUUACUUUAUACAGUUGAUGUGGAUAAAAAGUUUCUCUUUUAUUCUUAAUGUUAUUUUAUAUCGAUUUAAAACAUAUAAUUAUCUAUAAAAUAUAAAAAAAAUAGCUUGGACUUCUAACUAACUAAGCUUGUCUCAAAUUCACGUGCAAAAUUUAAGUAGCUAAAAUAAAUAUAUAAUUAUCAAGUAAUUUACAAAUAAGUAUCAAGUAAUUUAUAAAUAGUUCACACAUAACAUAUAUAGUAAACCGUUGUAAAUAACUUGUAAAUACGUCAAUUUCCAGCAAAUACUUAAAACUUGUAUAACAAACCAAAUACAAAUUUAAAUGGCAAAUUGUCAAAAAUACCAUUUUCAAAGUACCAUUUUUCACGUUUACACUAACCACUUUUACCCUCAUUUUUAAUGAAGGGUAAAAGACAUUUAUAACCUUUUGAUUAACUUUGACAAAAAAAUAACUAAUCUAAAUUUAAAACAUCAACUCUAAACCCUAAAUCAUCAACUCUAAACCAUGAAACAUCAACUCUAAACCCUAAACUCCGAAACAUCAACUCUAAACCCUAAACCCUAAACCUUCAAAUCAAAAACCCUAAAACAUCAACUAUAAACCCUAAACGUAAACCUUAAACCCUAAAUCUAAACUUAAAACAUCAAAUUUAAACCCUAAAUCAUCAACUCUAAACCCUAAACAAUGAAACAUCAACUCUAAACCCUAAACCCCGAAACAUCAACUCUAAACCCUAAACCCUAAACCUUCAAAUAUAAACCCUAAAACAUCAAUUCUAAACCCUAAACAUAAACCCUAAACCCUAAACCUACAAAUCUAAACUCUAAAACAUCAACUCUAGGGUUUUAGGGUUUAGAGUUGAUGUUUUAUGGUUUAGGGUUAAUUUUUUAGGGUUUAGAGUUUACUUUUUAGGGUUUAGGGUUUAGUGUUGAUGGUUUAGAGUUUAGAGAUGAAGUUUAUGGCUUAGGGUUUAGAGUUGAUGUUUUAGGGUUUAGAGUUGAAGGUUUAGGGUUUAGAGUUGAUGUUUCGGGGUUUAGGGUUUAGAGUUGAUGUUUCAGGGUUUAGGGUUCGUAUUUAAAAAAAAAAUAGGGUUUAGGAUUGAUGGUUUAGGGUUUAGGGUUCGUAUUUCGAAAAAAAUAGGGUUUAGGAUUUACGGUU
rnacentral:lncRNA from 1 species